UUUUUCGAGACUGUUUCUAUUUAUUCACGAUUCGAGACGCGUUCCAUAUCCGUUUUCCCGCGGUUUUCGAUCGAGAGCAAGGGAGGGGAAGGGGAAGGGGAGCACGCGUGUUUCUUCCGUUUUCACGCAGAGCGUGUAAUGGCACAAAAGUCGCGACACUUUGCGCCACGUGCCACGUGCAUUCUGUUCUCCGGAUACACGCGUGGCAUUACGUCUGCGCCAGACAUCAACGUGCAGCUGACGGUCCUUUGGAUGCACCCUUCCUCUUUGAGUCGUCCACCACGUCGCUCGUGCGCGCACCGUGCGCCGCUGCUAUACCAAAUGCCAGUGACAUCGGAAUCAAUGGUGGUCAUAACGGUUAACGUGACCGGCUGUGCCUCUACUCUCUCGGCAGAAAGACGAACGAGAGGAUUUGGAUUUGGUCGAAGAGAUCGAGAGAGAAUUUAGAAUUUAUUCCAGUCGUUUGACGAUUAUUUUCCAGUGAAGAAUGUUACUAUGGAGGAGAAUGCAGAAUGGAGAUACAGCUAUAUUUAGUGCUUUCGGAAUUAACCUCUUUAGGAAGGAGCGCGAUGUCUGUGAAACACGUAUCGUCCAUCGAGGGAAAUCGUUUUAUCGAUUUGGUUUUUAAUAUUGGUUGAUAUCGAUGUGUGUAUAAACGUAUUGUUCACUGGUGGAAAGAAAUCUCGCAGAUCUGAUCGUUUAAUUUAGAAGGAAACGGUUAUCUUCACAUGCAUUUUUCUAUCUAUGUAUUUGUCACAUAUACCAAUUCAAAACGAUCUAUACCUAUCUGCACUUGGAUGUAUUAGCAUAGGACAUAGAAUCCAGAGAAUUCUAAUCGAGAAUAAUAAUUUUUUUAUUUCUCAUAAUAUGCGUAAAUUACGAUUUGUAACGACAGUUUAAUUUAUAAAUAUAAUUUCAUUUUCGAGUAGUUGAAAUAAUAAUUGUAUGUAUACGAAUAAGCUGGCCAUACUAUCAAAAUAAUUAACAGUUUUGUUAAAUAUUUCAGUCUUAAAUAAUUAUCCUAACGUAACUUCAUAAAUGAAAAUAAUUUUUACGAUUUUCAAUAUCCAAAUUAUAGCUUCUUUCUUCCACUAUUAUAUUACGAAGCGUGUGGUGUCAGGAUUGUCAACAAAGGCGUCCGAAGUGGGGAUAAAUGGUCUUGGCGAAGGACUCCUCUUGCCCCUGCGCCGUCCCGCGAAACUUCUUUCCAGCGUGAAACAGCAGUUGGUAUUUCUAUGAAGAUGGAAACUUUCGUUCUGAUCCGUUUUGCUGAUUGAAAAAUUUCUGAUGUAUCUAUUGAUCAGAUAUCUUGAUAAUCGUACACAGGGUGCGAUUAUGCAAGCUGAAUUAAUAAAAAAUAAUUACAAUCGUUUGAAUUGCAAAUAAUAAAAAGUCAGGAUAACGAUAAGUGUUAAACUGUUUGGUAACUGUAAACUGCGUUUUUGAAUAAUCAAAUUUCCAGGCUACAAUAAUAUACACGUUUUAUAAGCGUGCAAUCAUAAAAUCAAACAUAUCACUUAUUUGCAACUGUUGGACAAGUUUCGAUCGUCAAUUAUUUUUUAUCGUCGAUUACCUGUCCCCUUAAUAAUUUUUUUAUCGGGAUUCAAUGUAAGCGAACGUAACCUGGAAGGUUAUUUAAAUUAACCGGCUUUAACAACAAUUUGUUUAUUCUUCUCGUGAAUAAUCUAUUAAAAAUUAUUUUACAAGAGUUUAAGACGAGACGAGUGAAGUAAUUUUCUUAAUAAUAUUAUUUGAAAAGAAGAAUCUUGAAACGAAAAUGAUGAAACCAGAUGACGAUGAUGAUGGAAUUCUUCAUCUUUAUGGGUAGAAAAAGAUUACGCAACAUUCAUUGUCUAUUGAGAACGUUAGGCUUUGUAUCAAAUUUUUAAGCGAGGAAAUUAGAAACCAUUGUUACUUAUAAUAAAAAAAAAUAUUCCUAUUCCAUUCACCAAACGUUCGGCAUUGUGGCUUACACAAUAUAAAAAGAGAUUAUACUAUAUUCACGAUUACAAAAGGCAAUUACAAGAUACAACAAACACCGUUCAAGUAAAAUAAUCUCUUUCAAAAGGAUUCAUUCAAAACAUUUCCAAUUUUAAUUUUUCUAAAGUUGAAAAACUUGAAUUAUAUCUCUCGAUAUGAACGCAACAGCAGCGGAAAAUAUUUUAUCCAUUGAUAGAUAUAUAUACUCUCUGCGAGUAAAAAUUCUACGUACAAUUAUAUCCCUAUCUUUUUUUUCCUACACUUUAUCAUAAUCUCUAAUUAAUAUAAUAUGGAGUGGAAAAAAUGCGAUUAUAUGUGAGCCAAUUAUCUCGAAGCGCAAAAUCAAGCUGGCUCAUUGGCUCCGUUAAAGUUCACGCGAAGAGAACAGAGGGGAUAUCGUAUUAUCGAGGCUCGUCGAGGCUUCUGGAUGACUGGCGAUUUCGAUGACCUUAAAUUUCCCGUGAAAUGAGAAAUACGCGUUCCGUGAUUCGUCCAUCGAGCGAAAAAAAAAUUAAAAAAAAAAAAAAAACGAAAGUUCAACGUUCCCUAAUUUUCCUCCCUUUCGAAAUUGUCGCGAAAUUUUAUAGAGAAUUUCUCUCUGCGAAGGAUUUCCAGGAUAUAAAUAACACGAAACGGUGAAUUCGUCGAAAGUUGCGGAUGGAUGUAAAAAAAAUUGUGAAAUGUGGAAAAUGAUGGCCGCCCCUCGGCGGAAGCUGCUGCAACCGCUUCACAAUUUAUCAUUCCGUCCCCGAUUUUAAGCAUUCGAGUUAUACGCGAGCUCAAUGGACCGCGCAAUCCGUUACGUACGAGAUUCUUGUGAAUUUAUAUAUAUAUAUACACCGUGUAACAGUAAAAUUGCGUGGAAACGAAGAAAGUGGAGGAAAUGGAUUAAAUUUCGUUCAAAAAUGGGAGGAAAGAGGAAGAAGAAAAAAAAAGUAUAGAAUUUUAAAUUAAAAUAUUUUUAUCAAAUGGUUCGCGGAGAGGAAUAGGAAUGAGAAUGCUCGUUGCUCAAUCUAUCGCGAUCGAACGAAGUAUCAAAGGAAUGUGUGUCAACGUUUCCAUAAAACUAUUUACACAACCUGUCAGUUCCAUUGAAAAUUAUUGUUGGAUUAAAAUUACAUGGGAUUAUAGUUUCUUCUAAUGAUAAGCCGGUAACGAAACCUUCGCACUUUUCCACGCAUACGUUGUACAUUGGCCCACAAUUAAACGAGCAUGUGAUUAAACAAUUUGAAUAAUUAUUCUAUUUAUUUUAUUUCGAAUUCCUUCGAAAGCUCGAUUGUAUAUAUAUAUAUGUGUGUGUGUGAUGUUUAUAGAUGAAGAUAUUCUUGGUAUUGUAAUUGCGGGGAGAACGGUAAUGGCGGAGAGAAAGAUGGCCACGUUUUCUAAUGCAGGUUUUACUUUUCUUCUCGUCAGCACGUGACCACGUCCCCUUGUAUCGCUAAUUCGUGCGCGUAAUUACCAUUUAAACGGCACGUACACAUCUUGUUAAGAUGGAAAAUAAACGAGCUCGAGAGGUAUGGGUAUUCCUUUCAAGAUUACAUAAGCGAUAAUUAAGAGACACGGCAUAUAUAUCGAAAGAUUGAUAUCCAAGUUUCAUGGCAAGGUCGAGAAAAAAUGUUAUUCCUCCCUUGCAAAAUUCUCUUCUGAGAGAUGAAAUAUUUCUCUUGUUUUUAGUCAUUAUUUAUAAUUUAAUCGAUAUUGAAUGGUAAAGGGCAUAAUUGGAUCGAUACUCGAUAAAAAAUUAUAUUUAAAAAUUGUUGAAAAAUUCAAUCGGCUGAAUUCACCGAUAUCCAAAUAUUCUAACAUUUUAUAUUCUAUAAUUGUACAUUAGCAAAAAUAUAAGCGCACAGGUAGAGAAUAUUUUUCGUUCAAUGAAAUUGAAGAAAUGAACAAAACAUUUUUUAAAAUGUAGAAAAAUCUAUUGCGAUAGAAUGCCAGGAUGUGGAGAAUAUGAUAACACUGAUAUCAAUGACGAUAAAAAUUAUAAUGAAAAGAAUUAACAAUAUUUUAAAUUUUAAUACUAGUAGAAACAAUAAAGGAAUGCAUUGAAUAUGUCACCUAUUUUCUCACUUUGAAGCAUUCGAAGCACAGAAAAGAAUCGAAGAUCAGACAAAAAUUUGUAACGUUAAAAAUCCAUUACUUCAAUUUUGUCAUAAAUAAACCAUAAUUAUUUUCUUCA